UUUUUAUGGCACUUUAUAAAAAUCCAUAUCCACCUUGUGUGCAAUGUCAUCUCACUGGAGGUCGCGGCUGUAAAAAUCCGUUGGCCACCUUUGGGAUUUAUAUCUACUCAGAACUUUAGUGAUUUUGUCUGAACCAUAUUAUGAAUAUUUAAUUCAAAAUACAACUUUCAACAACGGAUCUCUUGGCUCUCGCAUCGAUGAAGAACGCAGCGAAAUGCGAUACGUAAUGUGAAUUGCAGAAUUCAGUGAAUCAUCGAAUCUUUGAACGCAUAUUGCGCUCUCUGGUAUUCCGGAGAGCAUGCUUGUUUGAGUAUCAGUAAACACCUCAACUCCCUUUUCUUUUUUGAAAUGGGAGCUGGACUUGAGUGAUCCCAACGCUUCUCUCACCGAGAAGUGGCGGGUUACUUGAAAUGCAGGUGCAGCUGGACUUUUCUCUGAGCUAUAAGCAUAUCUAUUUAGUCUGCCUAAAAAACAGAUUAUUACCUUUGCUGCAGCUAACAUAAAGGAGAUUAGUUCUUAUGCUGACUGAUGCAGGAUUCACAGAGACAGCUUCGGCUGACUUUGUAAACUCGAUCUCAAAUCAAGUAAGACUACCCGCUGAACUUAAGCAUAUCAAUAAGCGGAGGAAAAGAAACUAACAAGGAUUCCCCUAGUAACGGCGAGUGAAGCGGGAUGAGCUCAAAUUUAAAAUCUGGCUGGUUUACUAGUCCGAAUUGUAGUUUAAAGAAGCGUUUUCGGUGGCAGCCUGGGUAUAAAUCCUUUGGAACAGGGUAUCAUAGAGGGUGAGAAUCCCGUCUUUGACUCAGUGCAUGCUACUAUGUGAUACGUUUUCAAAGAGUCGAGUUGUUUGGGAAUGCAGCUCAAAAUGGGUGGUAAAUUUCAUCUAAGCUAAAUAUUGGCGAGAGACCGAU
rnacentral:rRNA from 1 species